UGGGUUGUGGCUCAGUGGAGAGCACUUGCCUCACACAUUUGAGGCCCUGGGUUUGAUUCUCAGCAAGACAU
rnacentral:tRNA from 1 species